rnacentral:sRNA from 1 species
UACUAGGAUGGGUGACCUCC